GACGAACGCUGGCGGCGUGCCUAAUACAUGCAAGUUGAGCGCUGAAGGUUGGUACUUGUACCAACUGGAUGAGCAGCGAACGGGUGAGUAACGCGUGGGGAAUCUGCCUUUGAGCGGGGGACAACAUUUGGAAACGAAUGCUAAUACCGCAUAAAAACUUUAAACACAAGUUUUAAGUUUGAAAGAUGCAAUUGCAUCACUCAAAGAUGAUCCCGCGUUGUAUUAGCUAGUUGGUGAGGUAAAGGCUCACCAAGGCGAUGAUACAUAGCCGACCUGAGAGGGUGAUCGGCCACAUUGGGACUGAGACACGGCCCAAACGCCUACGGGAGGCAGCAGUAGGGAAUCGUCGGCAAUGGACGAAAGUCUGACCGAGCAACGCCGCGGGAGUGAAGAAGGUUUUCGGAUCGUAAAACUCUGUUGGUAGAGAAGAACGUUGGUGAGAGUGGAAAGCUCAUCAAGUGACGGUAACUACCCAGAAAGGGACGGCUAACUACGUG
rnacentral:rRNA from 1 species